GAUGAACGCUGGCGGCGUGCUUAACACAUGCAAGUCGAACGAGAAGUGAAGACGGAAACCUUCGGGCGGAAGGCUUUAUUUCGAGUGGCGGACGGGUGAGUAACGCGUGGGUAACCUGCCUCAUACAGGGGGAUAACAGUUGGAAACGACUGUUAAUACCGCAUAAGACCACAGCACCGCAUGGUGCGGGGGUAAAAACUCCGGUGGUAUGAGAUGGACCCGCGUUCGAUUAGCCAGUUGGCGGGGUAACGGCCCACCAAAGCGACGAUCGAUAGCCGAUCUGAGAGGAUGACCGGCCACAUUGGGACUGAGACACGGCCCAAACUCCUACGGGAGGCAGCAGUGGGGAAUAUUGCACAAUGGGGGAAACCCUGAUGCAGCGACGCCGCGUGAGUGAAGAAGUAUUUCGGUAUGUAAAGCUCUAUCAGCAGGGAAGAAAAUGACGGUACCUGAGUAAGAAGUCCCGGCUAACUACGUG
rnacentral:rRNA from 1 species